GGGUCAGUAGGUUGGUCGUGCCACCGGUACGUACUGGUCUCACUGAUUCCUCCUUCCUGAAGAACCGUAAUGCCAUUAAUUUGGUGUUGCGGGGAAACAGGACUGUUACUUUGAAAAAAUUAGAGUGUUUAAAGCAAGCUAACGCUUGAAUACAUUAGCAUGGAAUAAUGAAAUAGGACGAUCGAUCCUAUUUUGCUGGUUUCUAGGAUUGACGCA
rnacentral:rRNA from 1 species